UUGACCUCAAAUCAGGUAGGAUUACCCGCUGAACUUAAGCAUAUCAAUAAGCGGAGGAAAAGAACCAACAGGGAUUGCUUAGUAACGGCGAGUGA
rnacentral:rRNA from 1 species